UACGUAGGUGACCAGCGUUGUCCGGAUUUACUGGGCGUAAAGAGCGCGCAGGCGGUCGUUCAAGUCGCGUGUGAAAGCCCCCGGCUCAACUGGGGAGGGUCACGCGAUACUGAUCGACUCGAAGGCAGGAGAGGGUAGUGGAAUUCCCGGUGUAGUGGUGAAAUGCGUAGAUAUCGGGGAGGAACACCAGUGGCGAAGGCGACUACCUGGCCUGUUUCUUGACGCUGAGGCGCGAAAGCUAGGGGAGCAACGGGAUAAGAA
rnacentral:rRNA from 1 species